rnacentral:piRNA from 1 species
UUUUAAUAUUUGUUUGUUCGGGGGA